rnacentral:rRNA from 1 species
AGCGAACGCUGGCGGCAGGCCUAACACAUGCAAGUCGAACGGAUCCUUCGGGAUUAGUGGCGGACGGGUGAGUAACACGUGGGAACGUGCCCUUUGGUUCGGAACAACUCAGGGAAACUUGAGCUAAUACCGGAUGUGCCCUUCGGGGGAAAGAUUUAUCGCCAUUGGAGCGGCCCGCGUCUGAUUAGCUAGUUGGUGAGGUAACGGCCCACCAAGGCGACGAUCAGUAGCUGGUCUGAGAGGAUGAUCAGCCACACUGGGACUGAGACACGGCCCAGACUCCUACGGGAGGCAGCAGUGGGGAAUCUUGCGCAAUGGGCGAAAGCCUGACGCAGCCAUGCCGCGUGAAUGAUGAGGGUCUUAGGAUUGUAAAAUUCUUUCAGCGGGGACGAUAAUGACGGUACCCGAAGAAGAAGCUCCGGCUAACUUCGUG